GAUGAACGCUGGCGGCGUGCUUAACACAUGCAAGUCGAACGAAGCACUUUACCGGAUUUCUUCGGGAUGAAAGUUUUGUGACUGAGUGGCGGACGGGUGAGUAACGCGUGGGUAACCUGCCUCAUACAGGGGGAUAACAGUUAGAAAUGACUGCUAAUACCGCAUAAGACCACAGGAUUGCAUGAUCCGGUGGUAAAAACUCCGGUGGUAUGAGAUGGACCCGCGUCUGAUUAGGUAGUUGGUGGGGUAACGGCUCACCAAGCCGACGAUCAGUAGCCGACCUGAGAGGGUGACCGGCCACAUUGGGACUGAGACACGGCCCAAACUCCUACGGGAGGCAGCAGUGGGGAAUAUUGCACAAUGGGGGAAACCCUGAUGCAGCGACGCCGCGUGAGCGAUGAAGUAUUUCGGUAUGUAAAGCUCUAUCAGCAGGGAAGAAAAUGACGGUACCUGACUAAGAAGCACCGGCUAAAUACGUGCCAGCAGCCGCGGUAAUACGUAUGGUGCAAGCGUUAUCCGGAUUUACUGGGUGUAAAGGGAGCGUAGACGGAGAGGCAAGUCUGAUGUGAAAACCCGGGGCUCAACCCCGGGACUGCAUUGGAAACUGUUUUUCUAGAGUGUCGGAGAGGUAAGUGGAAUUCCUAGUGUAGCGGUGAAAUGCGUAGAUAUUAGGAGGAACACCAGUGGCGAAGGCGGCUUACUGGACGAUGACUGACGUUGAGGCUCGAAAGCGUGGGGAGCAAACAGAAUUAGAUACCCUGGUAGUCCACGCCGUAAACGACCCUAAAAGAGGUUCGGGAGGCGAAAGCCUUUCGGUGCCGCAGCAAAACGCAAUAAGCAGUCCUCCUGGGGAGUACGUUCGCAAGAAUGAAACUCAAAGGAAAUGACGGGGGCCCGCACAAGCGGUGGAGCAUGUGGUUUAAUUCGAAGCAACGCGAAGAACCCUACCUGCCCUCGACAUCCGGCUGACUGGCGAGUAAUGUCGCCUUUCCUUCGGGACAGCCGAGACAGGUGGUGCAUGGUUGUCGUCAGCUCGUGUCGUGAGAUGUUGGGUUAAGUCCCGCAACGAGCGCAACCCUUAUCUUUAGUAGCCAGCAUCUCGGAUGGGCACUCUAGAGAGACUGCCAGGGAUAACCUGGAGGAAGGUGGGGAGGACGUCAAAUCAUCAUGCCCCCUAUGGGCAGGGCUACACACGUGCUACAAUGGCGUAAACAAAGGGAGGCAAGCCUGCGAGGGUGAGCAAAUCCCAAAAAUAACGUCUCAGUUCGGAUUGUAGUCUGCAACUCGACUACAUGAAGCUGGAAUCGCUAGUAAUCGCGAAUCAGAAUGUCGCGGUGAAUAAGUUCCCGGGUCUUGCACA
rnacentral:rRNA from 1 species